rnacentral:rRNA from 1 species
AGCGAACGCUGGCGGCAGGCUUAACACAUGCAAGUCGAGCGCCCCGCAAGGGGAGCGGCGGACGGGAGAGUAACACGUGGGAACAUACCUUUUGGUUCGGAACAACUGAGGGAAACUUCAGCUAAUACCGGAUAAGCCCUUACGGGGAAAGAUUUAUAGCCGAAAGAUUGGCCCGCGUCUGAUUAGCUAGUUGGUGAGGUAACGGCUCACCAAGGCGACGAUCAGUAGCUGGUCUGAGAGGAUGAUCAGCCUCAUUGGGACUGAGACACGGCCCAAACUCCUACGGGAGGCAGCAGUGGGGAAUAUUGGACAAUGGGCGCAAGCCUGAUCCAGCCAUGCCGCGUGAGUGAUGAAGGCCUUAGGGUUGUAAAGCUCUUUUGCCCGGGAAGAUAAUGACGGUACCGGGAGAAUAAGCCCCGGCUAACUUCGUGCCAGCAGCCGCCGUAACAC